rnacentral:rRNA from 1 species
UACAGAGGUCCCAAGCGUUGUUCGGAUUCACUGGGCGUAAAGGGUGCGUAGGCGGUCGGGUAAGUCUGAUGUGAAAUCUCACAGCUUAACUGUGAAACUGCAUUGGAUACUAUCCGGCUUGAGGAAUGGAGGGGAGACUGGAAUACUUGGUGUAGCAGUGAAAUGCGUAGAUAUCAAGUGGAACACCAGUGGCGAAGGCGAGUCUCUGGACAUUUCCUGACCCUGAGGCACGAAAGCCAGGGGAGCAAACGGG